rnacentral:misc_RNA from 1 species
UCCGGCUUAUCACCGGCGGUUUCUUUAGAGUGCCCAACUAAAUGAUGGCAACUAAAGACGAGGGUUGCGCUCGUUGCGGGACUUAACCCAACAUCUCACGACACGAGCUGACGACAGCCAUGCAGCACCUGUUCUCCGACCUAUUGCUAGGAGGAAUCCAUUUCUGGAAACCGCCCGGAGAAUGUCAAGGACUGGUAAGGUUCUUCGCGUUGCGUCGAAUUAAACCACAUGCUCCACCGCUUGUGCGGGUCCCCGUCAAUUCCUUUGAGUUUUAAACUUGCGACCGUACUCCCCAGGCGGCGAACUUAACGCGUUAGCUUCGAUACUGAGAGCCUAGUUGCUCCCAACAUCCAGUUCGCAUCGUUUAGGGCGUGGACUAC